CAGGGAUUCUUCCAAAUGACUCAGAAUCAAAGGGGCCGUAGGCACCAUGAUGUAACGAAGGCUGGAUUGAAGAUGUUCUCGUGAGCAUCCUGAAAUCCAAAAUGAUGAUUCAAUAUCCAUCCAGAGGCAUGAUUUGCAUGGAGGAAAAGGGAAGCAGAAACCAAUGACAACAAAACAAGUAUGUGUGUGCCAGACACUGUUAUGAAAACCCAGCAGGUAUUGUUAACCCAUUAAAUCCUUUUCAAA